CCUACGAGUGGCAGCAGUGAGGAAUAUUGGUCAAUGGGCGCGAGCCUGAACCAGCCAAGUAGCGUGAAGGAUGACUGCCCUACGGGUUGUAAACUUCUUUUAUAAAGGAAUAAAGUGAGGCACGUGUGCCUUUUUGUAUGUACUUUAUGAAUAAGGAUCGGCGAACUCCGUGCCAGCAGCCGCGGUAAUACGGAGGAUCCGAGCGUUAUCCGGAUUUAUUGGGUAUAAAGGGAGCGUAGAUGGGUUGUUAAGUCAGUUGUGAAAGUUUGCGGCUGAACCGUAAAAUUGCAAUUGAUACUGGCAGUCUUGAGUACAGUUGAGGUAGGCGGAAUUCGUGGUGUAGCGGUGAAAUGCUUAGAUAUCACGAAGAACUCCGAUUGCGAAGGCAGCUUACUAAACUGCCACUGACAUUGAUGCUCGAAAGUGUGGGUAUCAAACAGGAUUAGAUACCCCUGUAGUC
rnacentral:rRNA from 1 species